GGGAGUGUGGUUCAGUGGUAGAACACUUGCCUAGCAUGCAUGAAGCCCUGGGUUCAAUUCCUCAGUACCA
rnacentral:tRNA from 1 species